rnacentral:rRNA from 1 species
UACGUAGGGUGCAAGCGUUGUCCGGAAUUAUUGGGCGUAAAGAGCUCGUAGGCGGUUCGUCGCGUCGGGCUGUGAAAUCCCGAGGCUCAACCUCGGGUCUGCAGUCGAUACGGGCGGACUGGAGUUCGGCAGGGGAGACUGGAAUUCCGUGGUGUAGCGGUGAAAUGCGCAGAUAUCAGGAGGAACACCGGUGGCGAAGGCGGGUCUCUGGGCCGAUGACUGACGCUGAGGAGCGAAAGCGUGGGGAGCGAACAGG